GGCCCCACAAGGCUUCCAGACUCUUUCAGGGAUGGCUUGUCCACUCGACUUCCUCUAGGGUAAGGCUUCUUCCGAGUAGAGAGACACUGCAUGUCCCUCUCUCAGAUUUGCUGUGUUCUCCUAGCAAUGUCACAGCAGAAGCAGCAGCAAACUUGGGAACCUCCCAGUGCUCCCAAAGGCUCCUCUCCUCAGUGCCCACACCCCCGCCUGGCUCCCUCCUCCGCACCCUGCAGUACUUCCUGUCACUCUGGUUCCCAGAAGGCCCACGCUCAGAGUCCAGCCCCCUCUAGGCGGCAUCGCCGCAGGCAGCCCCGCUGCCUCAGUGGCGGCACGGUCUACCCCUGCAAAGAGGAGGAGUGCUAAGGCCGCCAGACGCAGAGGAGAGCGACACAGCUCAGCGACAGCGACGCUGCUUCCCUUACAGCACGACGUCGGUGAGUCCACGAGGUCACGCUCAGGUGUCCUGGGAUCCUUCCGGUGGAUGCUGCUCCACUUCCUUUCCUCCUAAGACAGUUUAAAGAGGUGCAGAUUUGGGGGCCUAGGUCCUAGUAUUUUGCAGCCUCCCAGUCAUCAAGCUGUGUCAUUGCAUGAUCCCAGCACUAAGGGCUGCAGUGCAACAAGUCUACGUUGAGGACUGCGUGGGUGCUGGCCUCUUGUUCAUGGUGUAAGUGGGAGAACUGUUGCUGCUCCAGAAAAUCUUCUAAUGCAAUGGGAGAGGCCAUGGAUGCUCCAGGCGCCUCUUGACUGACAGCAUCUCCACACUUCCCUGAUCUCGGAUGAUCUUGGCAGCUUUGAGAAGUAUUCAUUGGACAUUUUGAAGAACGUCUCCCAUUUGGGAUUUGUGUGGUGUUUUUCUCAUGACUGGA